rnacentral:rRNA from 1 species
AUGCAAGUCGAGCGGGGGAAGGUAGCUUGCUACUGGACCUAGCGGCGGACGGGUGAGUAAUGCUUAGGAAUCUGCCUAUUAGUGGGGGACAACAUCUCGAAAGGGAUGCUAAUACCGCAUACGUCCUACGGGAGAAAGCAGGGGAUCUUCGGACCUUGCGCUAAUAGAUGAGCCUAAGUCGGAUUAGCUAGUUGGUGGGGUAAAGGCCUACCAAGGCGACGAUCUGUAGCGGGUCUGAGAGGAUGAUCCGCCACACUGGGACUGAGACACGGCCCAGACUCCUACGGGAGGCAGCAGUGGGGAAUAUUGGACAAUGGGGGGAACCCUGAUCCAGCCAUGCCGCGUGUGUGAAGAAGGCCUUAUGGUUGUAAUGCACUUUAAGCGAGGAGGAGGCUACUUUAGUUAAUACCUAGAGAUAGUGGACGUUACUCGCAGAAUAAGCACCGGCUAACUCUGUGCCAGCAGCCGCGGUAAUACAGAGGGUGCGAGCGUUAAUCGGAUUUACUGGGCGUAAAGCGUGCGUAGGCGGCUUAUUAAGUCGGAUGUGAAAUCCCCGAGCUUAACUUGGGAAUUGCAUUCGAUACUGGUGAGCUAGAGUAUGGGAGAGGAUGGUAGAAUUCCAGGUGUAGCGGUGAAAUGCGUAGAGAUCUGGAGGAAUACCGAUGGCGAAAGCAGCCAUCUGGCCUAAUACUGACGCUGAGUACGAAAGCAUGGGGAGCAAACAGGAUUAGAUACCCUGGUAGUCCAUGCCGUAAGCGAUGUCUACUAGCC